rnacentral:rRNA from 1 species
UACGUAGGGUGCGAGCGUUGUCCGGAAUUAUUGGGCGUAAAGGGCUCGUAGGCGGUCUGUCACGUCGGGAGUGAAAACACCGGGCUUAACUCGGUGCUUGCUUUCGAUACGGGCAGACUAGAGGCAUGCAGGGGAGAACGGAAUUUCCGGUGUAGCGGUGAAAUGCGUAGAUAUCGGAAGGAACACCAGUGGCGAAAGCGGCUUCCUGGUCCAGCACCGACGUUCAGGCACGAAAGCGUGGGGAGCAAACAGG